AAGAAUGCUUCUCUGUGACGUCACCGAGUAGAAUGAAAAAUUGUUUAAAUUUUUGAUUUUCAAAAUCUGAAAAAUGUCUAUCUGGGUGGGGGGAAUUUUAAUGCUCCCCACGUCAUGAGGAAACUCAGUGUUUUAAAUGUUUUAAAUUGAACCGUAGAAAAGUUCGCACAUAUGUAGACACUGGUUUUGUGCUGAAGAUAAUGAAAAUGGGGCUGAAAAGCAGUGGCUAAAUGUCGAAUGCGUGUCCUACAAUGCCAAACUAACAUCCCUGGUUGCUAAUUAGCUAAAGGAGAAAACUAAGAAAAUAAACAAACUAUUUUGUUUAUCAACAGGGGUGUCGUGUUUCGCUCUCCCUACCACACGGGGCCGCCCACGCGGACCUGGGAAGGAGCUACGCCUACUUGCCAUCCGCCUAGUUGGCGUCACUACACCGUGCGACGUUGCUGUGGAGACCCGCCGCUGGUAAAUUGAUGUAUCCUGUUUUGCCGCAAAUAUGUAACCGCGUCAAAUCAUAAUCAAUGAUUAUUGUGUAGUCUUCCCACUUACUGGACAAGCAAACAUAUGGUUUGAAAGUGGUGCACCUGUAAAGCAGGAUAGCAUCAGAAACCACCAAAUCAAAGUAAGCAUCAACAAACUCAACAUGCAUUUUUUUCCCCUUGCAACUGUGUCCCUCUGGGCCGUGGCUCCGGUGGACUUGCUAUCAAGUGGGGCCAAAGCCAGACCACUAGUACUUUUCAGCUUUCAUUUAAACAACAAUGUCUAACUGUGAACUUUAGCACCUUCUCACAAAGCAACUGUUUUGAUUAUACAGAGGUUGUUGAUUGUGUGCUUCACAAGUCCUUACUGUCAGCCCUAGCUAUGAAAACACAAUUUCCCUUGUAUAACAUAAGGGUAAGUAUACACAAUGCACUAAACCCCUGACCCCCUACUGUAACACUGGUGUCACAGUCGAAAGCAGCAUAUUUUGUGUAUUGAUGGUAAGAUAUUGGCUAGUGCAACAUUGUGGACUCAAUUUGAACCUGAAUGCAUCACCAACAUGUCCUGUUAUCCUUUUCAGUCAUAGUUUUUUUGAAAUGUAUUUGACCUUUAUGACCAAAGUUAUCCUAUUUCCACUUUGUUCUCAAUUGACACUAGAAUAAAUGUUUCUGACUAAUAUCAAUGCCACAUAAGCUGUUUUCUACCAGAGAAAUUGUUUAUUGCCUUCAGUUGCUCUUUAAUUGCAUUUCUCAUUCUAUUCGGCCUCAUGAAAGGACCCUUCAGACUUUUCGGUAUAGGAGUAUUUCUUUAGAGAUCCGGGAGAGAACAUAAAUGAUAUUACGGGAGAAAGAAAAAGUGGAUGAGACCCAAGAGGAGGGUUGGAGAGGAGAUGAUAUGUGUGCCGUUGAAGAAACCGAUGGAGGGGAAAUUGAAGUGGAGAACAACAAGGGAUCGUAGGUGGCCUUCUAUUUCUUUUCAUCCAACUCUCUCUCACUCUCGCUCACUCGCGUUGCUCCCACUCCCUCUGUCUCUCCCUCCCCUGUUCUUGUUUCCUCUGAGUGGUUGUGUGUGGAAACUGAAGGGUAGUAGGUGACAUUUCAUAGGCUGUCAUACACAAGCACCAGAGUAACAGAACAGUGUUAACGCAGCCAAAAACAGUCCUCCACCACUGCGCCAAGCAUCUCCUCUGCCUCCCUUCUACCAGCCAUUGGCAUCAUAUGUUUCCAUACACUAGUUAUUAAUCCAAAACCUCAAGCCAUAUUCCAUUAUUCUUUUCAUCCCUCACUCCCAUUCCUUCUCCAAAGAGUGUGAAGAAACUGUGACCCCCAGUAGCCAACUUGUCUAGGGUGAGGUAACAGUUUUGCUGUUAUACACAAUAACGUAAGUAAGUAAGCACACUAUAUACAGGAAAUAUUUAAAAAGUUAGUUCCAAUACUAUAUUUACAGUUGAAGUCGGAAGUUUACAUACACUUAGGUUGGAGUCAUUAAAACUUGUUUUUCAACCACUCCACAAAUUUCUUGUUAACAAACUAUAGUUUUGGCAAGUUGGUUAGGACAUCUACUUUGUGCAUGACACAAGUCAUUUUUCCAACAAUUGUUUACAGACAGAUUAUUUCACUGUACCACAAUUCCAGUGGGUCAGAAGUUUACAUACACUAAGUUGACUGUGCCUUUAAACAGCUUGGAAAAUUCCAGAAAAUUAUGUCAUGGCUUUAGAAGCCUCUGAUAGGCUAAUUGACAUAAUUUGAGUCAAUUGGAGGUGUACCUGUGGAUGUAUUUUAAGGCCUACCUUCAAACUCAGUGCCUCUUUGCUUGACAAUGGGAAAAUCAAAAGAAAUCAGCCAAGACCUCAGAUAAAAAAUUGUAGACCUCCAAAAGUCUGGUUUAUCCUUGGGAGCAAUUUCCAAACGCCUGAAGGUACCACGUUCAUCUGUACAAACAAUAGUACACACGUAUAAACACCAUGGGACCACGCAGCCGUCAUACCACUCAGGAAGGAGACGCGUUCUGUCUCCUAGAGAUGAACGUACUUUGGUGUGAAAAGUGCAAAUCAAUCCCAGAACAACAGCAAAGGACCUUGUGAAGAUGCUGGAGGAAACAGGUACAAAAGUAUCUAUAUCCACAGUAAAACGAGUCCUAUAUCGACAUAACCUGAAAGGUUGCUCAGCAAGGAAGAAGCCACGGCUCCAAAACCACCAUAAAAAAAGCCAGACUACGGUUUGCAACUGCACAUGGGGACAAAGACUUUUUGGAGAAAUGUCCUCUGGUCUGAUGAAACAAAAAUAGAACUGUUUGGCCAUAAUGACCAUCAUUAUGUUAGGAGGAAAAAGGUGGAGGCUUGCAAGCCGAAGAACACCAUCCCAACCGUGAAGCACGGGGGUGGCAGCAUGUUGUGGGGGUGCUUUGUUGCAGGAGGGACUGGUGCACUUCACAAAAUAGAUGGCAUCAUUCUUUUGGCGAGAUUGGAAACCCAAAUUGGUCUACACGGACAAGUUAUGGCCUGGUUCUAGAUCUUAUCUGUCGGAAAGAUAUCAGUUUGUCUCUGUGAAUGGUUUGUCCUCUGACAAAUCAACUGUAAAUUUCGAUGUUCUGCUUUAGGACCACUAUUGUUUUCACUAUAUAUUUUACCUCUUGGGGAUAUCAUUCGAAAACAUAAUGUUAACUUUCACUGCUAUGCGGAUGACACACAGCUGUACAUUUCAAUGAAACAUGGUGAAGCCCCAAAAUUGCCCUCGCUGGAAGCCUGUGUUUCAGACAUAAGGAAGUGGAUGGCAGCAAACUUUCUACUUUUAAACUUGGACAAAACAGAGAUACUUGUUCUAGGUCCCAAGAAACAAAGAGAUCUUCUGUUGAAUUAAUCUUGAUGGUUGUACAGUCGUCUCAAAUAAAACUGUGAAGGACCUCAGCGUUACUCUGGACGCUGAUUUUGACGAACAUAUCAAGACUGUUUCAAGGACAGCUUUUUUCCAUUUACGUAACAUUGCAAAAAUCAGAAAUUUUCUGUCCAGAAAUUAUGCAGAAAAAGUCAUCCAUGCUUUUGUUACUUCUAGGUUAGACUACUGCAAUGCUCUACUUUCCGGCUACCCGGAUAAAGCACUAAAUAAACUUCAGUUAGUGCUAAAUACGGCUGCUAGAAUCCUGACUGGAACCCAAAAUUGUAUCAUAUUACUCCAGUGCUAGCCUCCCUACACUGGCUUCCUGUUAAGGCAAGGGCUGAUUUCAAGGCUUUACUGCUAACCUACAAAGAAUUACAUGGGCUUGCUCCUACCUAUCUUUCCGAUUUGGUCCUGCCGUACAUACCUACACGUACACUACGGUCACAAGACGCAGGCCUCCUUAUUUUCCCUAGAAUUUUUAAGCAAACAGCUGGAGCCAGGGCUUUCUCCUAUAGAGCUCCAUUUUUAUGGAAUGGUCUGCCUACCCAUGUGAGAGACGCAGACUCGGUCUCAACCUUUAAGUCUUUACUGAAGACUCAUCUCUUCAGUAGGUCAUAUGAUUGAGUGUAGUCUGGCCCAGGAGUGUGAAGGUGAACGGAAAGGCACUGGAGCAACGAACCGCCCUUGCUGUCUUUGCCUGGCCGGUUCCCCUCUCUCCACUGGGAUUCUCUGCCUUUAACCCUAUUACAGGGGCUGAGUCACUGGCUUACUGGUGCUCUUCCAUGCCGUCCCUAGGAGGGGUGUGUCACUUGAGUGGGUUGAGUCACUGACGUGGUCUUCCUGUCUGGGUUGGCGCCCCCCCCUUGGGUUGUGCUGUGGCAGAGAGCAUUGUGGGCUAUACUCGGCCUCAGGAUGGUAAGUUGGUGGUUGAAGUUAUCCCUCUAGUGGUGUGGAGGCUGUGCUUUGGCAAAGUGGGUGGGGUUAUAUCCUGCCUGUUUGGCUCUGUCCGGAGGUAUCAUCGGAUGGGGCCACAGUGUCCCCUGACCCCUCCUGUCUCAGCCUCCAGUAUUUAUGCUCCAGUAGUUUGUGUUGGGGGGCUAGGGUCAGUCUGUUAUAUCUGGAGUAUUUAUCCUGUCUUAUCCGGUGUCCUGUGUGAAUUUAAGUAGGCUCUCUCUAAUUCUUUCUUUCUUUCUCUCUCUCGGAGUACCUGAGCCCUAGGACCAUGCCUCAGGACUACCUGGCAUGAUGACUCCUUGUUGUCCCCAGUCCACCUGGCCGUGAUGCUGCUCCAGUUUCAACUGUUCUGCCUGCGGGUAUGGAACCCUGACCUGUUCACUGUGAUUACUAUUAUUGGACCAUGCUGGUCAUUUCUGAACAUUUGAACAUCUUGGCCAUGUUCUGUUAUAAUCUCCACCCGGCACAGCCAGAAGAGGACUGGCCACCCCUCAUAGCCUGGUUCCUCUCUAGGUUUCUUCCUAGGUUUUGGCCUUUCGAGGGAGUUUUUCCUAGCCACCGUGCUUCUACACCUGCAUUGCUUGCUGUUUGGGUUUUUAGGCUGGGUUUCUGUACAGCACUUUGAUAUAUCAGCUGAUGUAAGAAGGGCUAUAUAAAUACAUUUGAUUUGAUGAGGAAGGGAAAUUAUGUGGAUAUAUUGAAGCAACAUCUCAAGACAUCAGUCAGGAAGUUAAAGCUUGGUCGCAAAUCUUCCAAUGGACAAUGACCCAAAGCAUACUUCCAAAGUUGUGGCAAAAUGGCUUAAGGACAACAAAGUCAAGGUAUUGGAGUGGUCAUCACAAAGCCCUGACCUCAAUCCUAUUGAAAAUUUGUGGGCAGAACUAAAAAAGCAUGUGCGAGCAAGGAGGCCUACAGUCCUGACUCAGUUACACCAGCUCUGUUAGGAGGAAUGGGCCAAAAUCCACCCAACUUAUUGUGGCAAGCUUGUGGAAGGCUAUCCGAAACGUUUGACCCAAGUUAAACUAUUUAAAGGCAAUGCUACUAAACACUAAUUGAGUGUAUGUAAACUUCUGACCCACUGGAAAUGUGAUGAAAGAAAUAAAAGCUGAAAUAAA